rnacentral:rRNA from 1 species
GAUGAACGCUGGCGGCGUGCUUAACACAUGCAAGUCGAACGAAACACCUUAUUUGAUUUUCUUCGGAACUGAAGAUUUGGUGAUUGAGUGGCGGACGGGUGAGUAACGCGUGGGUAACCUACCCUGUACAGGGGGAUAACAGUCAGAAAUGACUGCUAAUACCGCAUAAGACCACAGCACCGCAUGGCGCAGGGGUAAAAACUCCGGUGGUACAGGAUGGACCCGCGUCUGAUUAGCUGGUUGGUGAGGUAACGGCUCACCAAGGCGACGAUCAGUAGCCGGCUUGAGAGAGUGAACGGCCACAUUGGGACUGAGACACGGCCCAAACUCCUACGGGAGGCAGCAGUGGGGAAUAUUGCACAAUGGGGGAAACCCUGAUGCAGCGACGCCGCGUGAGUGAAGAAGUAUUUCGGUAUGUAAAGCUCUAUCAGCAGGGAAGAAAAUGACGGUACCUGACUAAGAAGCCCCGGCUA